ensembl:lncRNA
AUAGGUUGUUCCUCAAGUAGUCUUUUCUAUAAUUCCCAUCUCCUCCUUCAUAGUGAAUUUGUCUUCUUUAGACCUCUCCUAUCUUCCAUGCCAUAUUAAAAAUAAUUGUUAGCAGCUCGAAGGUUUUGUUGGCAUGAUGUUACUACAUUGAAACACACUCAUGCACACCUGCAUGACAUAGGGAACAUCUCGUGUCAUGUCACAGUCAGACUCUUAUGAGAAUCUCAACAAUUGCCAAAUAUUUCCCAGCUCUGGGAAGAUCAGUUAUUGCUCAGAGCAAGUAAUCCAGUCAUAGAUGAGAAAUAACCUCAGGCAGGCAGAUGGGAGAAAUGGAGAGAGGAGAAUUAGUUUUCUUAAUGACAGCAGUGUUUUUGAUAAGCUGGUGAUAACGUGGGAUAUAGGAAACCAGUCUAAAAAUCUGCUUUUGUGAGAAGGUAAGCAUAGUACUUCUUGCUGACAGCUGUUUGCAGUAUGAUUUUAACCUUCCUUUCCGGAGGUUUUUAAUUUUGGAGUCUGCUGUUCUUCAGUGCAUUACUUUCUCAAUUCUGGUUGCAGAUAAUAUCCAGAAAUACAUCAAAGCCAGGGAAAAAGAUUGCCCUUCUGGAAAUGUUUGUAGUCUAUAUGCUUGUGCCAUACAGUACUCUUGACUUUGUCUAUUGGUAUGUAGUAGUUAGAAAAGAGAAUCUCCUGGGAAGGAAAAGGAUCACGCCAUUUUCUGUUUGUCUGCUCUGCCUUUUACAAUUCUGUCAUCUCAUAGGUUUGGAAGUGAAAGAUUGAGCAAAUGUACUUGUGGCAAAAUCAUUUGAAGGAGUCAGGAUGAAAAAUGAUGUACAUAUUGUUCCUGAAGACAGCAAGUCACAGAGACAUGAUUCAAGGCUGGAUCUUAGGAAGAGCAAGUAGAAGCAAGGCUACAUCAGAGAUGAAGUGAAGGAUGCCAGGCAUACCUCUGGACCUGAAUUUCUCCAGCAAAUAGAACAGACUGCUUAGAGAUCUUCCUUGGUGAAAUGAAAUCAUAUUACUUUGUAGGAAAGCUCACUCUAAUGUUUUCAAUCUCUGUAGAAUUCAAUAUGCAUUCCAAUUGCUUGAGAAGAAUGGCUUUUAAAGACAGCGUAGGUAAGACAUGCUUUUGGUUUGUAGCACAGUGGCUGUCGCAUCCUGCAGAUUCUGUCCCUCUUCCAUUGGAGAUUUCUCCAGGACACUUCCUGAAGGAGUUCACUCUUUUCUUUUAGUUCACAAAAUGAUUUGGGUUUGGGUAUGAAUGAUGGGGAACAAGAGUUAAGGAAAAAAAACUAAAAUCCUCAGUAAAGGGCAUUAGUGUUCAUGAAGUUUUUGCUUCCUGUUAUACAUUCCUGCCAUAGAAUGAACUAAAUUUUUGGAUUUUCUUCAAAGAUAGAAUGUGAUUGUGCUCAGAGUAUUAUGGCAGCCAAAAGGAAACCUACAAUCCAUAUCCCUUUUGCUCUUCAGUGUAGAACGAUUAUGAACAGAGAGGCAGACAUUUCCCACUGCACACAAACCUCAUCCUAUGAUACCUGUAUUGUGAAUUAGAAAAACUUCCUUGAAGUCUUCUAUAAGAUGCUGUUCUUGGACCAGAGAUACAUUAAGGGAAUUUGUGUCUUUCAUGGUACUUCUCAGCUGUCUUAUAAAAACUGUAUUCUUCGGUGUUACAGCAGAACUUUUCCAAGCAGUUGUCACUAAAGACUUUGUGGACUGUAGCUUUUCCCUCUGCCUUUCUGGCUAUUUCUGUUGGUUAAUGCAUAGAGAAGGAAGAAUCACAUCUCUGAUCUUUAUGGCCUUUCUCUGCGAGGCUCAGCCCAGCUCAGGGCUCAUUGUAUCCCUCAGAGAAGGAAGCUUAACAUGCGAUGGCGAUACUCCACAGUCUGUCUUCAGCGUCUUUAUUUCAUGUCACAGGGACAGAAGAGAGAGCAGGUGGUGUGAUAAAGUAAUUAUGCACCGAAACUUAAAGUGCAGUUCACCUCAUCACUCUGUAGCAGCAGAGAUGAAAAUAAGCCAUGAUAAUGCCAGCACUCACCUGAAUAAAAAGAUUGCCCUGGUUGUAAUAGCAUUCAUUUGUUCCUUCAUACUGCUCCUUGUGCAGAAAGUUCAUCCAAGAAAGAAAAAACUGACUUAGAAUAUAAAAACGAAGACGUUCACCUAGCAACUAACUGGAUGUGUUCCAGUACUUGCUGAACCCCCUGUGGAGUGUUUCUUAUUGAUUUGUCAUGGAAUCUAUCAAAAGACCUGUUUCAGCUAUAGAUGUGCUGCCUGUGAGACUGGAAUUGGUGAACCGUAUUGUGCUCUGUUCCUGGAAACCUUUCUGCCUCUGAGAUCAAAAGAAAAAUUAAAGUGUUUUAUUCUUUUCCUCUCCCUUUCAUAUACU